rnacentral:lncRNA from 1 species
UUUUUUUUUUUUAAUUUUUAUUUAUAUAUCUGAGAAAGCGAGCACAAACAGUGGAGAGGGGCAGAGAGAGAAGGACAAGCAGACUCCCUGCUGAGCAGGGAGCCCAAAGCUGGACUUGAUCCCAGGACCCUGAGAUCAUGACCUGGGCCAAAGGCAGACACUUAACGGACUGAGCCACCCAGGCAUCCCCGUUCUUAGCACCCAGUCUUAAAAAGAGUCUGUGCUUCUGUCCCAGUACUCCCAGCAAACGUCUUCAGGAGACCUUUGAUUACCCCUGCUUGGGUCUCUGGAGUCAGGCAGUGCUCUCCAGCUCUGUAGCAACAAUAUGGGCGAAGAGUGAAUGAGAGAAAAGGUUCCCCAAAGGAAAAUUGAGGUGUUCUUAUCUAAAAGAAGAUAUACUGGACAGUCAAAAAUAAUCGGUGUCUGGAAUACCUAUUAUAAACAAAUAAUUUUAAAUUUUUAAAAUAAUAUUAAAAAGAGUUUGUAUUAUUUUACUUAGUGAUGCUUGAUAUUUCAUAUCUUGUUGCCAGGUAGGAGCUGCACUUAGGCCAGCCUUCACUUCAGAGACGCCACCUGAUGUCACUGCCAAAGCAUGUCAGGUAAAUGGUUAAAAAGACAAAGCUUAAGAAGUAAAACCCUCUCUUAUGCAAUUCUCCAGUUUGUAUUUGAUAGCAAGGGUUCUACAUUACAGUUGUCAAACCAUUCAUUCUCAGCUGCUCCUUUUCCUUUACUUUUUAAAUUUAGAGAAUUUCCCCCUCCUUCUGUGUAACAGCAUGGUAAUCCAGUGUUGGCUAUGUCAUAAUUUAUUUAACCAGUGAUGGAUUUAAAAAAUAUUACUUUUCUAGGAAUGAUUAUCAAACACUCAAUAUCCAGCCCUAAAUGACCUGCAGUAAUUAAAAGCAGAACUGGCUUGAAUUGAAUUAUUUAUAAACAUAAUGGAAUAAACUUAACUUUAGUCCGUUCUUUCAACUUUAUUUUAUUCACUUGUGUUUAGGAUAUGUUUCAUACCUUGAAUAUUCAAAGAGCUAUAUUAAAUCUCAUACUGAGGGGAUCUGGGUGGCACAGUUGGUUAAGCAUCUAACUCUUGGUUUCGGCUCCAGUAGUAAUCUCAGGGUCAUGGAAUUGAGCCCCUCAUCGGCUUCCACACUCAGCAUGGAGUCUACUUAAGACUCUCUCCCUUUCCCCCUCCUCCACGUGCCCAUGCUCUCUCUUGCGAGUGUGCGUGUGCUCUUGCUGUCUCUCAAAUAAAUAAAUAAAUGUUGUGCCAAGUCUCUAUUAUCACUUCAUUAUUUGUGCUCUUGCCUUAAGCCACUAAAAUAUUUUGUGAAAUGAGACAGGAACUGAAUAAAUAGAUGGAAGAUGAAAAAUUAAUUUUCUCUAGAAAAAGAGAAAUACUGUGACAUCCAAGAAAACCAGACAGCCUCUGAUAAUUAAGUUAUUUAUCUUUCAACAGUUAUAUUAAUUAACCAACAUCACUGCUUUUACAGUAGUAAGAUGAAGGGGAUCCCUGGGUGGCGCAGCGGUUUAGCACCUGCCUUUGGCCCAGGGCACGAUCCUGGAGACCCGGGAUCGAAUCCCACGUCGGGCUCCCGGUGCAUGGAGCCUGCUUCUCCCUCUGCCUAUGUCUCUGCCUCUCUCUCUCUCUCUCUCUCUCUCUCUCUCUCUGUGACUAUCAUAAAUAAACUUUAAAAAAAAAA